UGGGUGUGUGGGUGCCAAGUGCUUGGAGCAGUCAAGCCCCCAGCUCAGGUUCCUGGUUGCAAAUAAUCCUACAGGCAAUUUUCUCACAUUGCAACUAUUCCUUGAAAGGGGUGUUCACAGCAGGUUCCUGCAACCCAGUGCCUCCAGGAUGUCCAUCCCACACACGUUCCAGAGAUACCAAACAGUUGUGGUGUCCACAAGCCUAGUGGACCUACAAGCAAGUCAGUGUAGGACAUCCUAGUCCUGCUAAUGAAGAUGUUAUCUCUGGAAACUUUUUGCAUUGCUCAGCACUGGUGCCAUCCAACUGCCAAAUAGUGGUUAUGCCACCUGAAAAGUGAUAGAAGCUUUAUAUUCUGAGCCAAAAGCAAAUGAGUGCAACGACCAUGGGCACAUCUGGGGCUGCUCCAAACUGCUGUCAUUAGCAGAGAAGUCCAUGGGCUCAUCAACAAGACAACAAGAGAAGAGACCACAGAGCUACAAUUUUACUGGAGACCAGGAAAAGGAAUUCCAGGCAUCAGCUGCACUAGGGAUGUUUCUCUUCCAGCACUGGAGGCUGAAUUUAGAGAGGCUCCUGAGUUAUACACCACUCCCAGUAUCAUUCCAAACUUAAAAAAAGAGAUGUUCCAGUCUGGUUUCAGCAAUUGCCCAUGACAGAGAUAAUGUCGAGGCAAAUCAGCCACAUCCUGAACCAAAAUGGAUCGAUCUUGCAGGAGCACACUGCCAGCACUUACCGAGUAAGUUAGUUUUCAUAAGGAUGAGAAAGUGCCUCUUGAGACAACACAUUGCUGAGAAGAAUUAGAAGACCAAAGUGUUUGUUCUCCACAUGGAAGUUCUUUAGGACUCAUCAAAAUACCUGCUGUGUUUCCCUGAGAUAUCAUUUAUCACAGGACCAUAUAUCACUGUGCUGCUCUGGGCCACAGAUGUGCUGGCCUGGGUUUGGAGACUUCAUUCUCUUCUGAGCUAUCAGAAAAUCCCUGGAAAGCAAUAGGACAAGAAAAAUCAAGCCACCUCCAACAAACAAGGAUUCACAGUCUUUGGAACUUUUACAAUAUUCAACUCUUCUUUUGUCCUUGUCAUCCUCUUAUUGUGGGAAUUGUGAUCUGACUUCAUUUAGUACAGGAAAAAAAUGAACUUUGUGCCAAACUUUCAUCGUCAUCCACAUGGGGAGAGUGGGAAAAAUGCUGUACUACCUCUCUCAAAAAUCUUGGUAUUGAUAUUGCACAGCCUGCAAUAUUUAGCCCUCAGUCUGUUUCUGAGGCAAAACUAAGGGAUUGGAAUAUUCAGUAUAUUUUAUUAUGGACAUCUGUGACAUUACCCUGAAAACUACAAGUCUCUCUUAAAAUAUAUAUUUAUAAAACAUGGAAGAGGGUUUUGGGGCUUUUCUAACAAUCAGUUGCUCUAGACCCUGUUUGGGGGUAUAUUUACUUACCUUUAGCACAGUUUCCCACUGUUGCUGUGCUUUCCCAAAUUAAGGCUCUGUAGCAGUUCCAUUGAACGAAACUUUGUUUUGUACCAAAACAUUUGGUUGAAAGUGGGAAAGUCUUGACCAGCAUGUGAUCCCAGCAAAAUAUUUUCCUCCUGCUUUUGUGGGGGUAUAUUUCUCUCAUUCCAUUUUUGAAGAACUCCAAGUUUUAAAGUUGUCAGUUGCUGUUAUUGAAAACUUCUGACAGAGCACUCAAAAUACUGUGUACACUGGGAAAAAGUAACUCCAGUAAGUAAAGUGGUAGUAACUCAGUAGUGUAGUCAUUAGUAAUCUAGUUAGAAGUCAUUAGAAAUCUAAUUUUUCAGCAAACCUGAAGAAGGCUUCCAGAGUUAAUGAAUGAUUCAAUCCAUAACAGGAGUGCUGAAAACAUUUCUUUAAGAUACGAGAACCAGGUUUUGGUCAGGAGGAAAAUCUCAUAGAUAUUCUGCAUUUAGCUUUUAAGUGUCGCUGAAACAAGUCUGCAGGGAGUAUGAAACCUCUGGUAACUCUUGGGUGACCCCUCUUAUCAUUUGCAAUUGAAUGCUCCUUUUAUAUAAGACUAAAUAUUUCUGGUUUGGGGUUUUUUUUCAGAAUGUUCCUCAGAGCACAAUCUACUGCUCUAAGUUUCAGAUUUGAAAUAAGCACACUUGAUCAGAGACAGUUUUUUUAGUUGCUUCUUACCUAGUAUAAAUGAGAAACUUUCACAGCUACAGUGUAAAAAUGAAAAAAAAAAGAAAAACAUUGCCAGAUCUGUGGGUUUCUCCAGCUGUUAAAAUGAGCCUUCACUAGUGAUGUGUCUUCUACUGGAACUAUAAAAGCCUUCUUUAAAAGAGCUCAAAUUUUCUUUGCAAAUGGAACAGCCCAAGGAUCUGUAGCAAUCAUCCUGUUAUUCAUUUGUGGCAAUGCCAAGAGUAAAGGGUUAAAAGUCUGGGGAGACAAUAUUUGGUUAUUUUCUUUAACUCAGUGAUGUAUUUGGUUAUUUUCUUUAACUCAGUGGUGAAUCUGCUUUUAACAUAUGUGGAGAACAAAGCAGUUCAGACAAUUAAACUUCUUAAUCAAAAUGUGUGAAGAGAGACAGUGCUUUAUGCUUUAUGCACUUGAAUGAGGUGCUUGCAGGAAAUCCUUGUCCAGCUGACCAGCUCUGCAGCUUGCAAUCCAUGCCUUGGAAUGGUCCAGGUAUCUUCCACUCUGAAGAACAAUGUACUCCUCAGUGAGGAGAUGACAGGUUGUUGACUUGCUUUAUUUCUUUAUAUAAAAUUGUUGUUCCUUUUGCCCCAUUAAGGCCCUCCCCCAGCUGUGUGUGAGGGCUGUGGUGUGUCGGGGAGCACGGAUGGAGCACAGUUCUUCCCGCUCCGCGUUCUCCUGGCCGGGGCAGGUGCAUUUUGGAAAACACUCCUCAGGAAGUGUGGGGAGAUGGUCCUUGGACAGCCAACUCAGCUGCAGGGUUUGACAGGUCAUCUGCAGCCCUGGUAGGUCCCCGUGGUGCUGAUGUGCAGGACCCAGGGGUAGGUUAUCCCUGCGCUGUGCCCCUGCAUCCAGGAGUUCAGGUAUGGAUUUAAAUCAUUGUUGUGUGCAUUGGUCUCCCCCUUAUUUCCCCAGAGGGUCAAAGGCAUCAGGCAAUCCUAGUGGGCCCUUUGGUCCAGGCUGCACCCCUUUAGCAGGUGCCUGAUUUUACCUGAGGGUGCAGUGGUGCUGAGGGACCAUCAGGAAUGUGGGAAUGCUGCCCUCCCUUCCUGCCCGCGCUCGUCGAUGGAUCCCACGUGGUGAGGAGGAAUUCAGGAUGGAGACAAUCCAAAAUUACGGAAUGCAGGAACUGGAAGCCAGAAUUCCCUUCUCCCAGUUUUCCAUGGAUGGUCACUUCAAAUUUCUGACUGAUAGAUCCAUCUUUAAAGAAAAAAUUAAAAUCCCAAAACAAACCGGAAGAAAAUCUAAAUUCACAGGUCUAGAAGAUAAGAAGAUCAAGCAGUUGCCUAAUUUGUGGAUCCAGACUGGACUUUGGUGGGGAUUUCAUACACAGACUUACUUUUUCAGUUCCUUUUAAAAAAUCAUUGGGUCAUGACAUGCUGUCUUCCAAGAGCUGAGAAAAAACUGAGAAGUGAUUACUGCAGUGCAUUCAAAUGCCAUGGGAAGGUGAGCAAUGGAAGGCCAGACACCUCCAGACCAAUGGGCAGGCUGCUGUGAACAGGAACUGAAGAUAGUGUGUUUAUAGGUAGCAUUUUAAAACAGCUGCAAUUUCACUGCUGGACCAACCCUCUGAUUAGACAAGUGGAAAAGCUAUGAAGUAUACUCUGUAAUAAAUGUCAGAGCAAAGAAGAGCAAAGAACUGAAAAACACCCUAUUAGAGGCUAGCAAGAGCCAGGAAAUAAAAGAAGAACCUGUGUCAAAAAGCAAAAAAAAUUCAAGAGCAGAACAGAAGUUCAAGGGUGACAAAGAAAAGGAUCACAGCCCUUUUGGGCCGUGACAGUGGUAAUUUUUAUAUCCAACUCAGUGCAAAGCUGGAUUCCAAGCUGUGGUGUCAUUGUGGAGCAGAGACUCAGCAUGCCAGUGGCAUCCAUCAGUCUGGGGUCCUCACCUGGCAGUGCAGUCACACAGCAAGAGCCCUGCUUGCUGAAAUGGUAGCAAUGCUCUUCAUCAGUGUGGAGGGUGAUUGUCACCAUCUAUUAAAAAAAAU